CUACGGGAGGCAGCAGUGGGGAAUAUUGCACAAUGGGCGCAAGCCUGAUGAGCAUGCGCUGUAUGAAGAAGGCCUUUCGGGUUGUAAGUACUUCAGUCGUGAGGAAGGCGGCGUCUUAUACGGCGUUUUUGAUUACGAAGAAGAAGCACCGGCUAACUCCGUGCCAGCAGCCGCGGUAAU
rnacentral:rRNA from 1 species